UAAGAUGGAGACAUGGUCUGGUAGAAAUCAUCCGAGCUGUUCACUAUGAAGUUUAUUUAGGGAGACAGUUGAUGGCAGUCAAGCUAGGUCAAGAAGGAGAAGAACUUUAUGACUGUCUCCUAUUUGAAUGUACUCACCACCCCCAAGCAACACAGAUUUGCAAGUGCCUUGAACUGCUAUUCAAUGCUGUGUGCCAGUUUACACCUCUGUGACACAUCUUGACUCUUUCCUGAGGGUUACUAAUUGUAAUUUCAAGCUCGGUGUUUGUGAUAACACCUGCUUCACCAAUCCAUGUCAUCUUGCCCUACACUCAUUUGUAGUGUAAUAGCUGAUGUUUAAUAUAUCACCAUCAUCGGAGCCUUCUGUGACACCAAUCCAGUUACACUAUACUCCGAUGUUAGUGUCAGAUUCAUUUUGUACCUUGACAAGACACCUCUAUCUACUAUGGUGUUCCUGGACAUUUCAAGAUUGGUGUUACAUUAGUAAAUUUCACUUCUUCCUUUAAUAACACUCUGCUCUGGUGUUUGAGCCUGCUGAUGUAUUAUUGAGGAUCCUGACACGAACCAACUCAUCUGACAAUGCCAACACCAAGACUAACACCAUAGAAAACAGUAUUACUUGCGAUACAUGUAGCUUUAUUUUAUAUUCCUUAUUCUAUCACCUCGUGUCUUAGCUCAUCUUUAGUGCUUCCAACCAAUUGCGCUUCCAGUUUCUGCAUGUGCAGUAGAAAACACUUGAUGAUUCGAUCUUCCAUGUAUGAGAAAAGUUUGAUAAUGUCAUAAAUAAUUCAUUUUAAGCAUCACCCAAUUAUAUGUGAUGCGUCUAUCAAACAGCCUGAAUCUGGCUGCAUGUAUAUGGUUUGUUCUAUGUGUAUUCAUCAUGCCUUUUACUUAAAAAUCUCAGCCAAACCUUGCUCAAUAUAGGGGAGUGUUUCGUGAUGUCAUUUUCACUGACAGAAUGUUUAUAAGCUACUGUAACACUGUUGAAAAUGGGUGAUCACAAGAAACCAAGGGUAGUAGUAAGUAGUUACAAUCAUAUAAUGCUUUUAAUUUGUGUUUCUAAAUUCUGUACUUAUUCAAAGUAAACUGAAAUCUCAAAUAAUGGUUAUUGUUAGGCAGUGUGACUAUAAUGCUUGACUUGCUGAAGUUAAAUCUCAUGUAGGAAGACCUCAGAAAUUCUACCUGAAAAGAUGUAAUAUCACAUUUUACGUAUUCUCGUCCAAAAAAAGUGUUUGACUUUGACGAUUAAUCAACCCAAUGGCCCAUAUUCUGGAGUCGGGUUUAAAUUAAACUCAGGUUUAAAAUUGUGGUCUAAGUAUGGGUAGCCAAUUGUUACAUAAAUCACUAACAGUAGAGAUAGCAUACUUCAGCUCAUUUGGCUCUCAAAUCAUUCAUAAUUGUCUAGCAAGUAUAAAUAGAUGAUUGUCUUCACCAUCGAUGAAUCAGGAAAGAGCACAGUAAAUAUGAGAAACAUACAACUUAAUACAAAUUUUGAUACUUUUUGGCUUCCCAUACUUAAACCACAACUUUAAACCUGAGUUUAAGUUAAACCUGCCAUCAGAAUACGGGCCAAUAAGGUUAUUUUCUGCAGACUCUGCUGAAUAUUGGAAAGUUGGACAAUUUGUCUUCUGCUUAAGCAAAUUUUUGCCCAUUUAAAUGAAGCAACAUUGACAGUAUAAUGGGUACCUCUAUCCUGUCACACAAUGCAAAAUAUGAAAGAGCAAUUUUGAUUUGUCCCUGCUCGGUGUUGUCAUCAAUACUGGCAUACAACACUGAUUUUCAUUGGCUAAGGCCAUUAUAGUGAUAAGAACAGACCUUUGUGUUACAAGAUCCUUGUUUAUAUUUGUAAGAAUAAUAUGUACAUGUACCCUUGAGUUUGGUGAUCACGGGUAAUUUGGAGAUCAGCACAACACUAGACCUAAAAUGUAGUUGGUUCUUGGAUGAAUCUCACAAGGUGUAAAUUAAACCUUUCUGAACCUUCAGAAGUUUACACCGGCAGGGCAGUAGACUGUGUAACGCCAGGCUGCUCAGCUGUCAUAUUUUUCAUGUCAGAAUCCACUGACUUCCAAGAUCCGAUUAUUCUUGGAAAGAAUGUUUGUUGAUUUAUCAUCAAUGUACUUUGAUGUGAUGGGAACGUUGUGGUGUAGUGGUUAUGAUUCAUCUUUCAAUCUGAGGGAUUUAGAUUCGAUUCCCAGCCUUUGCUUUUUUUCCUUCAGCAAGAAAUUUACCCACAUCAUGCUGCAGUCAACCCAGGUGAGGUGAAUGGGUACCCGGUAGGAUUAAUACCUUGAAAGCAUUGAGCACUCGAAGGUAGCUCUAGACUAGCUAAAUCCGGGGUAAUAAUGAUAAUAGAAAUACUUCUUUGAACAGAUUAUUUUUUGAUAGAUUUGCCAACAAAAUGCCUAUUAUUUUUAUUUGGCUCAAGUGUUUUUUAGGGCAUGUAAGGUGUUGAUGCUAGGGAAGGGAGUGUUCUGUGCUUCUAACACCAAUACUAACACUGAACUUGAAAUCUCCCAUUUACUUAGAUGUCCCUUCACCUUGUAUUUGUGUUGAGACUUGAAAAAGUGUAAAUAUGAUCGAGAAGUACUCUAGUAAACUUGUAAAUAGUUGUUCUUUAUUGAUUGAAAUGUACAUUGUAAUCAUGAAUGCUACUUAAACAUAUUCAAUUCACAUAAUAUUCUUCUUUGUGAAAAUAUAUUGGUAAAUUAUUACGUGUUGCUAGAUAUAUCUUUAUUUUUUAUGAAUAUAGAACAAUUUACUAUGGUAGAAUUGAAUGUGUGCUUGAUAGUUAUUUGACAGAAAGUCUGAAAUAUUCAAGAUAAUUUAAAGGGGAAGUUCAUCAUGGAAUUUUUUUUGGGUAAAAACAGCAGAAAAUAUAAUGAAAAAUAUUGGUUAAGGUUUGAAGAAAAUCCAUCAAUGAUAUCAAAAGUUAUUAGAAUGAGAAUUUUUUGUAUUUGUGACCUCCCAUGUCAUUUCCUCAACAAAUUUAAAAUGGUUUUAUUUGUUCCUUCAAUAUGUCUGCAGCCAAAUUUUUCACACCCACUCCAGAAAGAACAGAAUUUUAUAGUCUUCAACUGAAAUUUAUGCAUUUUGUAAAAUACACAACAUACAUGUAUGGGGCAGCUGCUCGUAUGUGACGUCACAAAUCCAAAUCUUAAAAUUCUAUUAACUUUAUCUUUGCUGGAUUUUCCUCAAACCUUCACCAAUAUCUUUGAUCAUUUUUUGGGGGGGUAUUUUUACAAUGUAUUUUUCUUCCAGGUGAGCUUCCCGUACAUUGUUUUAGGAGCUAGAAUGGUGCUUUUAUGCAGAUGUAGUAGUUUGUAUCCAUUUUAUUUUUGUACCCUUUUUGCCGAAGGCUCCCCUAUCUACUCAGUGUGGCAUAUCUUAAUGAAACAGUACCCAUGAUU